rnacentral:rRNA from 1 species
UGCGAGUCAUAUGUUCUUCGUGAACAUGGCGUACUGCUCAGUAACACGUGGAUAACCUGCCCUUGGGACCGGGAUAACCCCGGGAAACUGGGGAUAAUACCGGAUAACGCAUAUCUGCUGGAAUGCUUUAUGCGUAAAAUGGAUUUGUCUGCCCAAGGAUGGGUCUGCGGCCUAUCAGGUAGUAGUGGGUGUAAUGUACCUACUAGCCUACGACGGGUACGGGUUGUGAGAGCAAGAGCCCGGAGAUGGAUUCUGAGACAUGAAUCCAGGCCCUACGGGGCGCAGCAGGCGCGAAAACUUUACAAUGCGGGAAACCGUGAUAAGGGGACACCGAGUGCCAGCAUCAUAUGUUGGCUGUCCAGAUGUGUAAAAUACAUCUGUUAGCAAGGGCCGGGCAAGACCGGUGCCAGCCGCCGCGGUAACACCGGCGGCCCGAGUGGUGAUCGUGAUUAUUGGAUCUAAAGGGUCCGUAGCCGGUUUGGUCAGUCCUCCGGGAAAUCUGACGGCUCAACCGUUAGGCUUUCGGUGGAUACUGCCAGACUUGGAACCGGGAGAGGUAAGAGGUACUACAGGGGUAGGAGUGAAAUCUUGUAAUCCCUGUGAGACCACCUGUGGCGAA